CCUACGGGAGGCUGCAGUGAGGAAUAUUGGUCAAUGGACGAGAGUCUGAACCAGCCAAGUCGCGUGAAGGAUGACUGCCCUAUGGGUUGUAAACUUCUUUUAUAUGGGAAUAAAAUGUUCCACGUGUGGGAUUUUGUAUGUACCAUAUGAAUAAAGAUCGGCUAACUACGUGCCAGCAGACGAGGUAAUACGGUGGGUCCGAGCGUUAUCCGGAUUUAUUGGGUUUAAAGGGAGCGUAGGUGGAUUGUUAAGUCAGUGGGGAAAGUUUGCGGCUCAACCGGAGAAUUGCAGGUGAAACUGGCAGUCUUGAGGACAGUAGAGGUAGGCGGAAUUCGGGGUGUAGCGGGGAAAUGCGUAGAUAUGACGAAGAACUCCGAUUGCGAAGGCAGCUCACUGGACUGCAACUGACACUGAGGCUCGAAAGUGUGGGUAUCAAACAGGAUUAGAUACCCCAGUAGUC
rnacentral:rRNA from 1 species